UACAGAGGUCUCAAGCGUUGUUCGGAUUCAUUGGGCGUAAAGGGUGCGUAGGCGGCGCGGUAAGUCGGGUGUGAAAUCUCGGGGCUUAACUCCGAAACUGCAUUCGAUACUGCCGUGCUUUGAGGACUGGAGAGGAGACUGGAAUUCCUGGUGUAGCGGUGAAAUGCGCAGAUAUCAGGAGGAACACCGAUGGCGAAGGCAGGUCUCUGGGCAUUAACUGACGCUGAGGAGCGAAAGCAUGGGGAGCGAACAGG
rnacentral:rRNA from 1 species